CCUACGGGGAGCUGCAGUGAGGAAUAUUGGUCAAUGGCCGAGAGGCUGAACCAGCCAAGUCGCGUGAGGGAAGACGGCCCUACGGGUUGUAAACCUCUUUUGUCGGGGAGCAAAGCGAACCACGUGUGGUUCAUUGAGAGUACCCGAAGAAAAAGCAUCGGCUAACUCCGUGCCAGCAGCCGCGGUAAGACGGAGGAUGCGAGCGUUAUCCGGUUUUAUUGGGUUUAAAGGGGGCGCAGGCGGAGGUGCAAGUCAGCGGUAAAAUUGCGGGGCUCAACCCCGUACUGCCGUUGAAACUGCAUCCCUUGAGUGCGCGAGAAGUAUGCGGAAUGCGUGGUGUAGCGGUGAAAUGCAUAGAUAUCACGCAGAACUCCGAUUGCGAAGGCAGCAUACCGGCGCGCAACUGACGCUCAUGCACGAAAGCGUGGGUAUCGAACAGGAUUAGAUACCCCGGUAGUC
rnacentral:rRNA from 1 species